GAGUUUGAUCCUGGCUCAGAAUCAACGCUGGCGGCGUGCCUAACACAUGCAAGUCGAACGCGAAAGGCACCUUCGGGAGCUGAGUAGAGUGGCGAACGGGUGAGUAACGCGUGGGUGAUCUACCUAGAAGUGGGGGAUAACUCGGGGAAACCCGGGCUAAUACCGCAUACGCCUGAGAAGGGAAAGGUCUUAGGAUCGUUUUUAGAGGAGCCCGCGUCCGAUUAGCUAGUUGGUGAGGUAAGAGCUCACCAAGGCGACGAUUGGUAGCCGGUCUGAGAGGACGGACGGCCACACUGGGACUGAGACACGGCCCAGACUCCUACGGGAGGCAGCAGUGGGGAAUUUUGGGCAAUGGGCGCAAGCCUGACCCAGCAACGCCGCGUGGAGGACGAAGGUUUUCGGAUCGUAAACUCCUGUCCAGAGGGACGAAGCGAGUGACGGUACCUCUGGAGGAAGCCCCGGCUAACUCCGUGCCAGCAGCCGCGGUAAUACGGGGGGGGCGAGCGUUGUUCGGAAUUACUGGGCGUAAAGGGCGCGUAGGCGGCUCUGGAAGUCAUGGGUGAAAGCCCCGGGCUCAACCCGGGAAAGGGCCUGUGAAACCACAGGGCUGGAGUGCUGGAGAGGGAAGCGGAAUUCCAGUGUAGCGGUGAAAUGCGUAGAUAUUGGGAGGAACAUCGGUGGCGAAGGCGGCUUUCUGGACAGACACUGACGCUGAGGCGCGAAAGCCAGGGGAGCGAACGGGAUUAGAUACCCCGGUAGUCCUGGCUGUAAACGAUGAACACUUGGUGUGGGGGGUGAAGAAAGUCCUUCCGUGCCGCAGAGAACUCGUUAAGUGUUCCGCCUGGGGAGUACGGCCGCAAGGCUGAAACUCAAAGGAAUUGACGGGGGCCCGCACAAGCGGUGGAGCAUGUGGUUUAAUUCGACGCAACGCGAAGAACCUUACCGGGGUUUGAACUGCUCAGGCGACUCUCAGAGAUGGGGGGUUCCUUAGGGACUUGAGCAGAGGUGCUGCAUGGCUGUCGUCAGCUCGCGUCGUGAGAUGUUGGGUUAAGUCCCGCAACGAGCGCAACCCUUGUUUGUAGUUGCCAUCAGGUCGAGCUGGGCACUCUACGGAGACUGUCGGCGAAAAGCCGGAGGAAGGUGGGGAUGACGUCAAGUCCUCAUGGCCUUUAUGUCCCGGGCUACACACGUGCUACAAUGGGCGGUACAGAGGGCCGCGACCCUGUGAAGGCAAGCGAAUCCCAGAAAACCGCUCUCAGUUCGGAUUGCAGUCUGCAACUCGACUGCAUGAAGGUGGAACCGCUAGUAAUCGCGGAUCAGAACGCCGCGGUGAAUACGUUCCCGGGCCUUGUACACACCGCCCGUCACAUCACGAAAGUGGGCUGUACUAGAAGCCGCCGGCCUAACCCUCGGGGAGGAGGCGUCGACGGUAUGGCUCAUGAUUGGGGUGAAGUCGUAACAAGGUAGCCGU
rnacentral:rRNA from 1 species